UUCUACAGGCAGAUGAGCGUGCAGUCUUGAAGCAUUUUAAUUGGCCUGAGAGGAAAGCUGAUGCCAUGCGUGAAGCUGCAGUUGAGUAUCGUGACCUUAAAUUGUUAGAACAAGAGAUUUUCUCUUUCAAGGAUGAUCCUGAAAUUCCAUGUGGAGCUUCCUUGAGAAAGAUGGCCACACUAUUAGACAAGUAAGAAAGUAAAUCUAUAUCACAUAUUUAAGUACUAAUUUUAAAGAGUUUAAUGGUUAUGCACAGCACAGAUAAUGUAAACAGUUUUACAUCGUGAACUAAUAAAAUAUCACUGGUCAUACAACUUUUGAAGUAGAUAACAUAAAAGUUAACAAACAUACCAUAUAUGAUAAUUUGUACUGAGAUGAUGGUGUAAAAUUUAUACUAUGAGUGCAUAGUCUAUUUCCUCGGUUUUAAAUAUGCCAGGUUUCAUUGUGAUAGGUCUGAGUGCAGCAUACAGAGACUAAUCAAGUUGAGAAAUUCUGUAAUGCGUUCAUAUCAAGAUUACAAAAUUCCAACUGCUUGGAUGCUUGACUCAGGAAUCACGGCAAAGGUAUCAUUUGUAUGAUUUCUUUGUGAAUGUGAUGACAACAAUAACGACACUUAGUAAACCUUGUCUUUCUAAUAAGAACUGGAAGUUAAGGUUUAAUGACAUUGGCAAUUCUUGAAAUUAGUUUGCAUGAAUAGAUAUAAUACUUAACCAUGAAUUGAGUUGUGUUGUGUGAGCCAUAGGACUCUCCGCCAUGUGUUGCUUUACUUUCAGUGUUUCUUUAACUCAAUGAAAAUGAAAUGAAACAACACAACUAACUGAAUGAAGAACAUGCUUCAGUUUAGGAUUUAUUAAUCCAAGUCUCUUGUAAUUAAUUGGUUACUGAAUACUACUAACAUACAUUUUGUAUCUUAAUUUUUCAAUGUAAAACUUGAUUGGAUGAAUAAUAAAUAUGCCAUUUAUGCAGAUUAAGCAGGCUUCUAUGACUCUGGUCAAGAUGUACAUGAAAAGAGUGACAAUGGAGCUUGGAUCUGCUAAGAAUUCAGACAGACAGUCUAGUCAAGAAUCCCUUCUGCUUCAGGGCAUGCAUUUUGCAUAUAGAGCUCAUCAGGUAUUUCUCAAUGUCUGCAAAUCUCUGCACACCAUAUAUGAUUAUAGAAACAUCAUAUAUAGUUACUAGGAAUAUCUACUAUAGCAAUUGUUCCAUCACAAGACCUAAGAAAAGCAAGUAUACUAUAGUUGCCAAGCAUAUAACCCAAUAAGGUGAUGUAAUUAGCUUAAACAAUUAAGUGGAUCAUCCUAACCCAUUCUAAUUUCCAUAUGAAAGGACCAUCAACCCUUUCUUUUAUAAAAAAGCAAAAAACUUAUUUGCAGCCACAAUAGGAAAUAUUACCAUUUUCAUCAUUUAUGAGGCUGAUUCACUUAUUUUGGUAUGUUUUUCUAGUUUGCUGGAGGUUUGGAUGCAGAAACUCUUUGUGCUUUUGAAGAGAUAAGGCAACAUGUACCAGGACACUUAGCAGGGUCUCGAGAACUUUUGGCUGGCAUAGCAUCAUCGUGAGAGGCCAUUGUAUUUUAUGCUUUCUUUUCCUUAUCCCCAAUGUUCAACACUAUUGACGACCAUUCAGAAGAAAUAAGAAUAUACAUGCAGAGAUUUUGAAGAAAGAACUUUCCAUAGGGUGCUUGAGCAAGUUUAGUAGCUAAGUUUGUAACAAUUGGACUGUUACAAACUAGCUGGUUCCUCGUCUUGUUCUAUGGAUAAAAUCUUCACAGUCAUUGAGCUUA
rnacentral:lncRNA from 1 species